rnacentral:rRNA from 1 species
CCAGGUACCCGUAGAGCUUGCUCUUACGGGUGGAGAGUGGCGGACGGGUGAGGAAUACAUCGGAAUCUACUUUUUCGUGGGGGAUAACGUACGGAAACUUACGCUAAUACCGCAUACGACCUCCGGGUGAAAGCAGGGGACCUUCGGGCCUUGCGCGAUUAAAUGAGCCGAUGUCGGAUUACCUAGUUGGCGGGGUAAAGGCCCACCAAGGCGACGAUCCGUAGCUGGUCUGAGAGGAUGAUCAGCCACACUGGAACUGAGACACGGUCCAGACUCCUACGGGAGGCAGCAGUGGGGAAUAUUGGACAAUGGGCGCAAGCCUGAUCCAGCCAUACCGCGUGGGUGAAGAAGGCCUUCGGGUUGUAAAGCCCUUUUGUUGGGAAAGAAAAGCAGUCGGUUAAUACCCGAUUGUUCUGACGGUACCCAAAGAAUAAUCACCGGCUAACUUCGUGUCAGCAUCCGCGGAAAUACGAAGGGUGCAAGCGUUACUCGGAAUUACUGGGCGUAAAGCGUGCGUAGGUGGUUGCUUAAGUCUGUUGUGAAAGCCCUGGGCUCGACCUGGGAAUCGCAGUGCAUACUGCAUGACUAGAGUGUGUUAAAGGGGAGCGCAAUUCCCGGUGUAGCAGUGAAUGCGUAGAGAUCGGGAGGAACAUCUGUGGCGAAGGCGGCUACCUGGACCACACCUGAUAC